rnacentral:rRNA from 1 species
GAUUUCUGGUGUGAUGCGCCUGACCCACCCACAUCUGUGGCGUGAGUGUCGGUGCGCGUCUGCCAUCCUUCUAGAGAACGGCCCUGCUCUUCACUGGGUGGGGUCGCGAUCUAGAUCUUUUACUUUGAAAAAAUUAGAGUGUUUAAAGCAGGCUUGCGCUAUGAAUACAUUAGCAUGGAAUAAUAAUUUAGGACUUUGUUCCUAUUUUGUUGGUUUCUAGGGAUGAAGUAAUGAUUGAUAGGGGCAGUUGGGGGUGCUAGUAUUCAGCGGCCAGAGGUGAAAUUCUUGGAUUCGCUGAAGACUAACUUAUGCGAAAGCAUU